GCGNGCCUACACAUGCAAGUCGAGCGGUAACAGGCGUAGCAAUACGUGCUGACGAGCGGCGAACGGGUGAGUAAUGCUUCGGAAUCUACCCAGUAGUGGGGAAUAACCAGCCGAAAGGUUGGCUAAUACCGCAUACGUCCUACGGGAGAAAGCGGGGGAUCGCAAGACCUCGCGCUAUCGGAUGAGCCGAAGCCGGAUUAGCUAGUUGGUGGGGUAACGGCCUACCAAGGCGACGAUCCGUAGCUGGUCUGAGAGGACGACCAGCCACACUGGGACUGAGACACGGCCCAGACUCCUACGGGAGGCAGCAGUGGGGAAUAUUGGACAAUGGGGGAAACCCUGAUCCAGCGACGCCGCGUGUGUGAAGAAGGCCUGCGGGUUGUAAAGCACUUUUAGUGGGGAUGAAAAGUGCAGAGCUAACACCUCUGCAUCUUGACCUAACCUACAGAAAAAGCACCGGCUAACUCUGUGCCAGCAGCCGCGGUAAUACAGAGGGUGCGAGCGUUAAUCGGAAUUACUGGGCGUAAAGCGUGCGUAGACGGUCAUGUAAGUCGGGUGUGAAAGCCCCGGGCUCAACCUGGGAAUUGCAUUCGAGACUGCAUGGCUAGGGUGCGGAAGAGGGAAGCGGAAUUUCCGGUGUAGCGGUGAAAUGCGUAGAUAUCGGAAGGAACACCAGUGGCGAAAGCGGCUUCCUGGUCCGACACCGACGUUCAGGCACGAAAGCGUGGGGAGCAAACAGGAUUAGAUACCUGGUAGUCCACGCCAUAAACGAUGAGAACUAGACGUUGAGGGGGUAAGCCUCUCAGUGUCGUAGCUAACGCGCUAAGUUCUCCGCCUGGGGGAGUACGGCCGCAAGGUUGAAACUCAAAGG
rnacentral:rRNA from 1 species